GUGUGGAUUGGUUUGUCUGACGCAGAGCAGGAGGGCAACAUGAAAUGGGUGGAUAAUUCACUGCUGAAUAGAGGGUUUUGGUGUGAAG